rnacentral:rRNA from 1 species
GAUUUCUGGUAUGAUGCCCCUGAUCCGUGCCCUUUACGGGGUAUGUGUGUUGGUGUGGCGUCUGCCAUCUUUUGUGUAGAUGCUUUGUCUUGUUUUGGGGCCUUUACUGGUUUCAACGGGCUUAGGUUAUCAUCUACAUCUUUUACUUUGAAAAAAUUAGAGUGUUUAAAGCAGGCUUUUAGCCCUUGAAUACAUUAGCAUGGAAUAAUAAUAUAGGACUUCGGUUCUAUUUUGUUGGUUUCUAGUACUGAAGUAAUGAUUGAUAGGGAUAGUUGGGGGUGCUAGUAUUCAGCGGCCAGAGGUGAAAUUCUUGGAUUCGCUGAAGACUAACUUAUGCGAAAGCAUU